GAUGAACGCUGACGGCGUGCUUAACACAUGCCAGUCGAACGAUGAAGCCCAGCUUGCUGGGUGGAUUAGUGGCGAACGGGUGAGUAACACGUGAGUAACCUGCCCUUAACUCUGGGAUAAGCCUGGGAAACUGGGUCUAAUACCGGAUAGGAGCGUCCACCGCAUGGUGGGUGUUGGAAAGAUUUAUCGGUUUUGGAUGGACUCGCGGCCUAUCAGCUUGUUGGUGAGGUAAUGGCUCACCAAGGCGACGACGGGUAGCCGGCCUGAGAGGGUGACCGGCCACACUGGGACUGAGACACGGCCCAGACUCCUACGGGAGGCAGCAGUGGGGAAUAUUGCACAAUGGGCGCAAGCCUGAUGCAGCGACGCCGCGUGAGGGAUGACGGCCUUCGGGUUGUAAACCUCUUUCAGUAGGGAAGAAGCGAAAGUGACGGUACCUGCAGAAGAAGCACCGGCUAACUACGUG
rnacentral:rRNA from 1 species